rnacentral:rRNA from 1 species
UAUAAGACUGGGAUAACUUCGGGAAACCGGAGCUAAUACCGGAUAACAUUUAGAACCGCAUGGUUCUAAAGUGAAAGAUGGUUUUGCUAUCACUUAUAGAUGGACCCGCGCCGUAUUAGCUAGUUGGUAAGGUAACGGCUUACCAAGGCGACGAUACGUAGCCGACCUGAGAGGGUGAUCGGCCACACUGGAACUGAGACACGGUCCAGACUCCUACGGGAGGCAGCAGUAGGGAAUCUUCCGCAAUGGGCGAAAGCCUGACGGAGCAACGCCGCGUGAGUGAUGAAGGGUUUCGGCUCGUAAAACUCUGUUAUUAGGGAAGAACAAAUGUGUAAGUAACUGUGCACGUCUUGACGGUACCUAAUCAGAAAGCCACGGCUAACUACGUGCCAGCAGCCGCGGUAAUACGUAGGUGGCAAGCGUUAUCCGGAAUUAUUGGGCGUAAAGCGCGCGUAGGCGGUUUCUUAAGUCUGAUGUGAAAGCCCACGGCUCAACCGUGGAGGGUCAUUGGAAACUGGGAAACUUGAGUGCAGAAGAGGAAAGUGGAAUUCCAUGUGUAGCGGUGAAAUGCGCAGAGAUAUGGAGGAACACCAGUGGCGAAGGCGACUUUCUGGUCUGUAACUGACGCUGAUGUGCGAAAGCGUGGGGAUCAAACAGGAUUAGAUACCCUGGUAGUCCACGCCGUAAACGAUGAGUGCUAAGUGUUAGGGGGUUUCCGCCCCUUAGUGCUGCAGCUAACGCAUUAAGCACUCCGCCUGGGGAGUACGACCGCAAGGUUGAAACUCAAAG